rnacentral:rRNA from 1 species
AAUCAACGCUGGCGGCGUGCCUAACACAUGCAAGUCGAACGAGAAAGUGGAGCAAUCCAUGAGUAAAGUGGCGACCGGGUGAGUAACACGUGACUAACCUACCCUCGAGUGGGGAAUAACUCCGGGAAACCGGAGCUAAUACCGCAUAACAUCUUCGGAGCGCAAGCUCGGUUGAUCAAAGGAGCAAUUCGCUUGAGGAGGGAGUCGCGGCUGAUUAGCUAGUUGGCGGGGUAAUGGCCCACCAAGGCUUAGAUCGGUAGCCGGCCUGAG